UACGUAGGGGGCUAGCGUUGUCCGGAAUCAUUGGGCGUAAAGAGCGUGUAGGCGGCUCGGUAAGUCCGCUGUGAAAGUCCAGGGCUCAACCCUGGAAUGCCAGUGGAAACUGUCGAGCUAGAGUCCGGAAGAGGCGAGUGGAAUUCCUGGUGUAGCGGUGAAAUGCGCAGAUAUCAGGAGGAACACCCGUGGCGAAGGCGGCCGGCUGGGGGUUACCUGACGCUGAGGCGCGAAAGCGUGGGGAGCGAACCGG
rnacentral:rRNA from 1 species